GUUCUGUCCUAUUUAUAAUUCUGAUAACCUGAAGUGUAUUCGAGACUGAUUGAAAAAUAAGGUAUUGAUGCAUAAAUAUUCAUGAGGGAUUGAUAAAAAAAGUAUCGAUGCCAGCUAUGGAAAGCAGAUUAUAUUUAAAUAUUAAUGAGGUAAUGCCUAAUCUUCAUAAACUAAAUGCAAUACUGGGAAUAAACAAAUAUGGUAGAAACAGAAGCAGAUUCUAAUGUUAAUAAAGAUCAC